rnacentral:tRNA from 1 species
ACUAGGGUAGUUUAUUAAAAUACUACAUUGUGGGGGUAGAGAUGUGUAGUACCCUUAGUA